GACGAACGCUGGCGGCGUGCCUAAUACAUGCAAGUAGAACGCACAGUUUAUACCGUAGCUUGCUACACCAUAGACUGUGAGUUGCGAACGGGUGAGUAACGCGUAGGUAACCUGCCUGGUAGCGGGGGAUAACUACUGGAAACGAUAGCUAAUACCGCAUAAUAUUGAUUAUUGCAUGAUAAUUGAUUGAAAGAUGCUAUUGCAUCACUACCAGAUGGACCUGCCUUGUAUUAGCUAGUAGGUGAGGUAACGGCUCACCUAGGCGACGAUACAUAGCCGACCUGAGAGGGUGAUCGGCCACACUGGGACUGAGACACGGCCCAGACUCCUACGGGAGGCAGCAGUAGGGAAUCUUCGGCAAUGGACGAAAGUCUGACCGAGCAACGCCGCGUGAGUGAAGAAGGUUUUCGGAUCGUAAAGCUCUGUUGUAAGAGAAGAACGGGUGUGAGAGUGGAAAGUUCACACUGUGACGGUAUCUUACCAGAAAGGGACGGCUAACUACGUG
rnacentral:rRNA from 1 species